UACGUAGGGUGCAAGCGUUGUCCGGAAUCAUUGGGCGUAAAGAGCUCGUAGGCGGUCUGUCGCGUCUGCUGUGAAAUCCCGGGGCUCAACUCCGGGCUUGCAGUGGAUACGGGCAGACUAGAGUUCGGUAGGGGAGACUGGAAUUCCUGGUGUAGCGGUGAAAUGCGCAGAUAUCAGGAGGAACACCGGUGGCGAAGGCGGGUCUCUGGGCCGAUACUGACGCUGAGGAGCGAAAGCGUGGGGAGCGAACAGG
rnacentral:rRNA from 1 species